AACUAAAUAAAUAAACAAAAAAUAAAAAUAAACAUGGAAUAAUAGCUAGCUAAGACCGUAUGUUGUUUGUACGUAUAUAGGCACAGAUUAAGGCACCGUAGAGUCCUAGACCUUUCCUCCUUUGCUUUAGUUCUCUCUUCUAGGCAUUUCAGUAGCUUUGCG
rnacentral:ribozyme from 1 species